rnacentral:rRNA from 1 species
AACGAACGCUGGCGGCGUGGAUAAGACAUGCAAGUCGAACGGGAGAAUUGCUAGCUUGCUAAUAAUUCUCUAGUGGCGCACGGGUGAGUAACACGUGAGUAACCUGCCUCUUAGUGGGGGAUAGCCCUGGGAAACCGGGAUUAAUACCGCAUACGAUUGAAAGAUCAAAGCAGCAAUGCGCUAGGAGAUGGGCUCGCGGCCUAUUAGUUAGUUGGUGAGGUAACGGCUCACCAAGGCGAUGACGGGUAGCCGGUCUGAGAGGAUGUCCGGCCACACUGGAACUGAGACACGGUCCAGACACCUACGGGUGGCAGCAGUCGAGAAUCAUUCACAAUGGGGGCAACCCUGAUGGUGCGACGCCGCGUGGGGGAAUGAAGGUCUUCGGAUUGUAAACCCCUGUCAUGUGGGAGCAAAUUAAAAAGAUAGUACCACAAGAGGAAGAGACGGCUAACUCUGUGCCAGCAGCCGCGGUAAUACAGAGGUCUCAAGCGUUGUUCGGAAUCACUGGGCGUAAAGCGUGCGUAGGCUGUUUCGUAAGUCGUGUGUGAAAGGCAGGGGCUCAACCCCUGGAUUGCACAUGAUACUGCGAGACUAGAGUAAUGGAGGGGGAACCGGAAUUCUCGGUGUAGCAGUGAAAUGCGUAGAUAUCGAGAGGAACACUCGUGGCGAAGGCGGGUUCCUGGACAUUAACUGACGCUGAGGCACGAAGGCCAGGGGAGCGAAAGGGAUUAGAUACCCCUGUAGUCCUGGCAGUAAACGGUGCACGCUUGGUGUGCGGGGAAUCGACCCCCUGCGUGCCGGAGCUAACGCGUUAAGCGUGCCGCCUGGGGAGUACGGUCGCAAGAUUAAAACUCAAAGAAAUUGACGGGGACCCGCACAAGCGGUGGAGUAUGUGGCUUAAUUCGAUGCAACGCGAAGAACCUUACCUGGGCUUGACAUGUAAUGAACAACAUGUGAAAGCAUGCGACUCUUCGGAGGCGUUACACAGGUGCUGCAUGGCCGUCGUCAGCUCGUGUCGUGAGAUGUUUGGUUAAGUCCAGCAACGAGCGCAACCCCUGUUGCCAGUUACCAGCACGUCAAGGUGGGGACUCUGGCGAGACUGCCCAGAUCAACUGGGAGGAAGGUGGGGACGACGUCAGGUCAGUAUGGCCCUUAUGCCCAGGGCUGCACACGUACUACAAUGCCCAGUACAGAGGGGGCCGAAGCCGCGAGGCGGAGGAAAUCCUGAAAACUGGGCCCAGUUCGGACUGUAGGCUGCAACCCGCCUACACGAAGCCGGAAUCGCUAGUAAUGGCGCAUCAGCUACGGCGCCGUGAAUACGUUCCCGGGUCUUGUACACACCGCCCGUCACAUCAUGGAAGCCGGUCGCACCCGAAGUAUCUGAAGCCAACCGCAAGGAGGCAGGGUCCUAAGGUGAGACUGGUAACUGGGAUGAAGUCAUAAC